GACGAACGCUGGCGGCGUGCUUAACACAUGCAAGUCGAACGAAGAGCGACGGAAGCUUGCUUCUAUCAAUCUUAGUGGCGAACGGGUGAGUAACGCGUAAUCAACCUGCCCUUCAGAGGGGGACAACAGUUGGAAACGACUGCUAAUACCGCAUACGAUCUAACCUCGGCAUCGAGGAUAGAUGAAAGGUGGCCUCUACAUGUAAGCUAUCACUGUAGGAGGGGAUUGCGUCUGAUUAGCUAGUUGGUGGGGUAACGGCCCACCAAGGCGAUGAUCAGUAGCCGGUCUGAGAGGAUGAACCGCCACAUUGGGACUGAGACACGGCCCAGACUCCUACGGGAGGCAGCAAUGGGGAAUCUUCCGCAAUGGACGAAAGUCUGACGGAGCAACGCCGCGUGAGUGAUGACGGCCUUCGGGUUGUAAAGCUCUGUUAAUCGGGACGAAAGGCCUUCUUGCGAAUAGUGAGAAGGAUUGACGGUACCGGAAUAGAAAGCCACGGCUAACUACGUG
rnacentral:rRNA from 1 species